rfam:Oryza nivara chromosome 6, whole genome shotgun sequence.
AAUAAAAUAAACCCUGGGUUUCCAUAUUCAAUGUUUGACUGUCCGUUUUAUAUGAAAUUUUUUUAUAAUUAGUAUUUUCAUUGUUGUUAGAUGAUAAAAUAUGAUUAAUACUUUAUGCGUGACUUGUCUUUUUAAUUUUUUUUAUAAAUUUUUUAAAUAAAACGGACGGUCAAAUGUUGGACACGGAAACUCAGUGUUUUUUUUAUA